AACGAACGCUGGCGGCAUGCCUAACACAUGCAAGUCGAACGAGACCUUCGGGUCUAGUGGCGCACGGGUGCGUAACACGUGGGAACCUGCCCUUAGGUUCGGAAUAACUCAGAGAAAUUUGAGCUAAUACCGGAUGAUGUCGAAAGACCAAAGAUUUAUCGCCUUUGGAUGGGCCCGCGUGGGAUUAGCUAGUUGGUGGGGUAAAGGCCUACCAAGGCGACGAUCCUUAGCUGGUCUGAGAGGAUGAUCAGCCACACUGGGACUGAGACACGGCCCAGACUCCUACGGGAGGCAGCAGUGGGGAAUAUUGGACAAUGGGGGCAACCCUGAUCCAGCAAUGCCGCGUGAGUGAUGAAGGCCUUCGGGUUGUAAAGCUCUUUUGGCGGGGACGAUGAUGACGGUACCCGCAGAAUAAGCCCCGGCUAACUUCGUGCCAGCCGCCGCGGUAAUAC
rnacentral:rRNA from 1 species